rnacentral:rRNA from 1 species
UACGUAGGGUGCAAGCGUUAAUCGGAAUUACUGGGCGUAAAGCGUGCGCAGGCGGUUUUGUAAGUCUGUCGUGAAAUCCCCGGGCUCAACCUGGGAAUGGCGAUGGAUACUGGCGAGCUAGAGUGUGUCAGAGGAUGGUGGAAUUCCCGGUGGAGCGGUGAAAUGCAUUGAGAUCGGAAAGAACACCAACGGCGAAAGCACUCUGCUGGGCCGACACUGACACUGAGAGACGAAAGCUAGGGGAGCAAAUGGG